AUGCACGCUGGCGGCGUGCCUAAUACAUGCAAGUCGAGCGAACAGACGAGGAGCUUGCUCCUCUGACGUUAGCGGCGGACGGGUGAGUAACACGUGGAUAACCUACCUAUAAGACUGGGAUAACUUCGGGAAACCGGAGCUAAUACCGGAUAAUAUAUUGAACCGCAUGGUUCAAUAGUGAAAGACGGUUUUGCUGUCACUUAUAGAUGGAUCCGCGCCGCAUUAGCUAGUUGGUAAGGUAACGGCUUACCAAGGCGACGAUGCGUAGCCGACCUGAGAGGGUGAUCGGCCACACUGGAACUGAGACACGGUCCAGACUCCUACGGGAGGCAGCAGUAGGGAAUCUUCCGCAAUGGGCGAAAGCCUGACGGAGCAACGCCGCGUGAGUGAUGAGGGUCUUCGGAUCGUAAAACUCUGUUAUUAGGGAAGAACAAAUGUGUAAGUAACUAUGCACGUCUUGACGGUACCUAAUCAGAAAGCCACGGCUAACUACGUG
rnacentral:rRNA from 1 species